GAUGAACGCUGGCGGCGUGCCUAAUACAUGCAAGUCGAGCGAACAGACGAGAGUGCUUGCCCUCUCUGACGUUAGCGGCGGACGGGUGAGUAACACGUGGGUAACCUACCUAUAAGACUGGGAUAACUUCGGGAAACCGGAGCUAAUACCGGAUAAUAUUUAGCUUCGCAUGAAGCAAUAGUGAAAGACGGUUCUGCUGUCACUUAUAGAUGGACCCGCGGUGUAUUAGCUGGUUGGUGAGGUAACGGCUCACCAAGGCAACGAUACAUAGCCGACCUGAGAGGGUGAUCGGCCACACUGGGACUGAGACACGGCCCAGACUCCUACGGGAGGCAGCAGUAGGGAAUCUUCCGCAAUGGACGAAAGUCUGACGGAGCAAUGCCGCGUGAGUGAAGAAGGUUUUCGGAUCGUAAAACUCUGUUGUAAGGGAAGAACAAGUACGUUAGUAACUGAACGUACCUUGACGGUACCUUACCAGAAAGCCACGGCUAACUACGUG
rnacentral:rRNA from 1 species